rnacentral:rRNA from 1 species
GGAAUAUUGGUCAAUGGGCGAGAGCCUGAACCAGCCAUGCCGCGUGCAGGAAGACGGCCUUCUGGGUUGUAAACUGCUUUUAUCAAGGAAGAAAAGGGCCCUGCGGGGCAAAUUGACUGUAUUUGAUGAAUAAGCACCGGCUAACGACGUGCCAGCAGCCGCGGUAAUACGUAGGGUGCAAGCGUUGUCCGGAUUUAUUGGGUUUAAAGGGUGCGUAGGCGGCCCAGUAAGUCAGUGGUGAAAUCCUGCAGCUUAACUGUAGAUGUGCCACUGAUACUGCUGGGCUUGAGUACAGACGAGGUAGGCGGAAUUUAUGGUGUAGCGGUGAAAUGCAUAGAUACCAUAAAGAACACCGAUAGAGAAGUCAGCUUACUAGGCUGUAACUGACGCUGAGGCACGAAAGCGUGGGGAUCGAAC